ACUCCUACGGGAGGCAGCAGUGGGGAAUAUUGCACAAUGGGGGAAACCCUGAUGCAGCCAUGCCGCGUGUGUGAAGAAGGCCUUCNGGGUUUGUAAAAUGCACUUUGCAGUAGGGAGGAAGGUAGUGUAGUUAAUCACCGUGNCAUUUAUUUUGACGUUACCUACAGAAGAAGCANCCGGCUAACUCCGUGCCAGCAGCCGCGGUAAUACGGAGGGUGCGAGCGUCAGUCGCAAGUAU
rnacentral:rRNA from 1 species